AUCUAUAUACUAUAUAAAAGACCAGUUAAACGGUAACUUAUUCCCGCUAAAACACAAUUUUUUUCCGCUAAAAUUGAAUAUGAUAGUUGUAAAAACUGAAACUCUUACAAAAACUGUGGCAGUUGUCGAGAGUUCUUCAAAAUUUUCUCAAUUUUUCAGAAACCAAACCCAUCAUCCCUGCAAAAGAAAACCAUUCAACCUUUCUCCAAAACUUUGAACGAACUUAAGUUUUCAAAUCGGAUUAUACCAAGAAACCUCCUUUUAAACAAAAUAAAAAAAGAAAAAUUCAAGAUUCACCUACCCAUAAAUAGGUACAAUUUGAAUAGCAGAUAAAUACAACAAAAUUCAAAAAUCGU
rnacentral:lncRNA from 1 species